AUGACUCAGGUGGAAUCUACAUCUCCAGAGGAAAAGCCCCGGCAGAAUCAACCGGAAGACAGCCAAAAAACCAGAGGAAAACUUCCGUUCAAAGUUUGGUUCCACGAAGUUCCUGUGCCCGGAAGAUCUAACAUAUCACCGGCUCACCCCCUGUCCCACGGCUUGGAUGGUACUACGACGUUAAAUUUACUCCGAUUGAGCUACUGCGAGAUCGUCGCUUUAAUUUCCACAAAAGAACUUCGGAUAUUAUCAAACUCGAGGCUCGGAUCGGAGCGCAGAAAUCAGUUCACUCAUAGGCGCUGUCAAUAUUUUCAAUAUUCUCGACGCUCAAUGUGUGCACAUACGAAGAGAUGGAGGGUCAGAUGA
rnacentral:lncRNA from 1 species